UACAGAGGAGCCAAGCGUUGUCCGGAUUGACUGGGCGUAAAGCGUGCGCAGGCGGUGAUGUAAGACAGUUGUGAAAUCCCCGGGCUCAACCUGGGAACUGCAUCUGUGACUGCAUCGCUGGAGUGCGGCAGAGGGGGGUGGAAUUCCACGUGUAGCAGUGAAAUGCGUAGAUAUGUGGAGGAACACCGAUGGCGAAGGCAGCCCCCUGGGCUAACACUGACGCUCGAUGCACGAAAGCGUGGGGAGCAAACAGG
rnacentral:rRNA from 1 species